rnacentral:rRNA from 1 species
CACGUAGGGGGCAAGCGUUGUCCGGAUUUAUUGGGCGUAAAGAGCUCGUAGGCGGCUUUGUCAGUCGGGUGUGAAACCUCCAGGCUCAACCUGGAGCCGCCACCCGAUACUGCAAUGGCUAGAGUCCGGUAGGGGAGCAUGGAACUCCUGGUGUAGCGGUGAAAUGCGCAGAUAUCAGGAGGAACACCGGUGGUGUAGACGGCUCACUGGACCGUAACUGACGCUGAGACACGAAAGCGUGGGUAGCAAACAGG